GACGAACGCUGGCGGCGUGCUUAACACAUGCAAGUCGAACGGAAAGGCCCUGCUUUUGUGGGGUGCUCGAGUGGCGUACGGGUGAGUAACACGUGAGUAACCUGCCCUUGACUUUGGGAUAACUUCAGGAAACUGGGGCUUAUACCGGAUAGGAGCUCCUGCUGCAUGGUGGGGGUUGGAAAGUUUCGGCGGUUGGGGAUGGACUCGCGGCUUAUCAGCUUGUUGGUGGGGUAGUGGCUUACCAAGGCUUUGACGGGUAGCCGGCCUGAGAGGGUGACCGGCCACAUUGGGACUGAGAUACGGCCCAGACUCCUACGGGAGGCAGCAGUGGGGAAUAUUGCACAAUGGGCGGAAGCCUGAUGCAGCAACGCCGCGUGCGGGAUGACGGCCUUCGGGUUGUAAACCGCUUUCGCCUGUGACGAAGCGUGAGUGACGGUAAUGGGUAAAGAAGCACCGGCUAACUACGUG
rnacentral:rRNA from 1 species